ACUAGCGACGGGACUUCGGUUGUUGGAAACUGUGCCUUCCCUGCUGGCCUGAAGACCACGGGUUGGGACGGCGCUACGAUGACCAUUUGCCAGUUUUUCCUCCAAGGCCGGUGCCGCUUCGGAGACCGCUGCUGGAACGAGCAUCCCGGCACCCGGGGUGCGGGCGGAGCCCGACAGCCGCCACCACAGCAGCCGCCGCCGCCCUCAGGGAGUAACAGGCGUGGUGGGUGGAAUGCCAGCACCCAGAGAUACUCCAGUGUCAUCCAGCCAUCCAGCUUCUCCAAGUCUACACCAUGGGGUGGCAGCAGAGAUCAAGACAAACCAUUAUUCGGCUCUUUUGAUUCUGGGGCUUCCACCAGCAGAGGCUUUGGAUCAUCUCAAAAUCCUUUUGCUUCACUUAUCUCUGAAGAGCAGAAAGAUGAAAAGAAACUGCUGGAAGGAAUUGUUAAAGAUGUAGAGAUUUGGGAAUCAUCGGGGCAGUGGAUGUUCUCUGUUUUCUCACCAGUGAAAAAGAAACCUAACAUUUCAGGUUUCACAGAUAUUUCACCAGAAGAGUUGAGGCUUGAAUACCAUAACUUCUUAACCAGCAAUAACUUACAGAGCUAUCUAAAUUCUGUUCAACAGCUAGUAAGUCAAUGGAAGAAUAGGAUAAAUGAGCUGAAAAAUCUCAAUAUGUCAACCAAAGGAACUCUGCUCACUGAUGUAAAGGGUGGAGCCAGUCAAGCAGCGCCUGCAUUUGGGUUUGGAAGUAAGCAAACAGGGACGUUUGGGUCAUCAGGUUUUCCAGUGAAUAGCAGCAGCAGUAAUGUUCAGAACUUUAGUUUUAAAACGAACUCUGGAUUUGCCACUGCCCCUUCUGGAAGCACGCCUGUAUUUGGGAGUCCCUCGGCCUUUGGGGCCGGACCCUCUGCUGGUUCUACCAUCGCUUCCUCCGCUCCAGCCUUUGGGUUUGGGAAGCCUGAAGCCACAUCUGCUGUUCCAUUUUCCUUCAAGAGCCCUGAUGCUUCCGGUUUUGGAUCACCUGGAUUUUCAGGGUUUCCAGCUUCCUUGGCAGGGAGUCCUUUCGGCCCUGCAGUGACCCCUGCCUUCGGAAGUGGCAGUUCUGUGGCUGGUUUUGGUAGUCCUGGCCCACAGUCUCAAUCUGUAUUUGCCAAGCCUUCUAAUGACUUGUUUGGAGGUAGCAGCAUAUCAGCCUCCUUCCCUGUCUCGGCCACAGAUAAUGCACUGUUCACACCUAGGGAUCAGCUGACUAAAGAGGAGCUGGGUCAGUUCCAGUCCCAGAAAUUUACUCUGGGGAAAAUCCCACUGAAGCCACCACCUGUGGAACUUCUGACUGUAUAAAAGGCAGUUUCAGCUACAGAACGGCUUUAGCCAGGCAUAUGGUGCUUGCCUAUAGUCUGGGAGACUGAGAGAAGGGAUGCUACAAACUCAGGGCCAGCCUGAACUGCACAGACCUCCCUCCCAGCUGUCAAAGGUGUGAGCUGCCCUGCCACUCCCUCCCCACCAGGAUGGCCUGAAAACUGGAAGCUGUGAAGCAGUCACAAGGCAGCCAGCACUGCAUGGGUGCUGCUCUGGCGCCUCAGAACUAGAGAGGAACCCUGCCAGACAGCACUGCCAACGCCCUGAGUCGCCUCUGCUCUCCGAGCCAGUUUUAUGGUGUUUGAUGCUACUGAACCUACAAGCCCAGCACCAACCCAGAGAUGAAUUUCACAAGACAGGCCAGGGAAGGGAAACUUUACAGGGAGAAGCACCACCUUAUGCCGCUGGGUGAUAGGGAAGACUGUCGGCCUUGGCUCUAGAACUCCAGCUUUCUAAGUGGCCACAGAGCUUCUAACUAGCCAAAGCUGAGACGGAAAUAAACUGCCACAGGGAGGAAAACUCAGGAGGGGAGAAAGACUGCCGGGAUGAUUCUGCCGCCUAGCCUCAGGUAUUUCUUUGUCUGGGUAGAGACCCCAGCCAUCAGUCCCUGCCCUUUCUCACCUCUGAAACUGACUGCUUCUCCAAGCCUUGCCUGCCUCAACACAGUUCCCACCCAUGGUCUUGCCACCUCCUGCUCCAGUCGCAGUGCUUGCCCAGCCCCGCCAUCUCCAGGCUGGUCCUCACCCAUGCUAACACCUGUCAGCGGCAGUCCCUCUUCCCAAGCCUCCCAAAAAUGUCCACUCAGGCUGCAGGAUCUCCUUCCAGGAAGAGACCAGUGCAAGCCUCGUGGUCCAGAGCGUACCCUUGUUCUGCUUCUGUCAAGGCUCACACUUGUCACGCGUGAAACCCCCACCAGAGCCAGCAUAUCUCUAUCCCCAGUGUGUCCCCCGGAGCCCUGCAGCCUGGGUGGCUGCUGACUAGUCUGACACCAGCCACGAGGCUGCUUUUCCCAGCACCCCAGUAUAAGAAAACAGCAGCCGUGGUUGUCACACUUUCUCAUGGAGUCUCUGUUUCGCUGAUAUUUUUUAUUAAAUUUACUUUUUAUGUUUUACCUGCCUAUAUUU